rnacentral:rRNA from 1 species
UCAAGCUAUCAAGAGCUAACGGUGGAUACCUUGGCACGCAGAGGCGAAGAAGGACGUGGUGACCGACGAAACGCUCCGGGGAGCUGGCAGCAAGCAUUGAGCCGGAGAUAUCCGAAUGGGGCAACCCUAAAUACAGCUGGUUGAAUCCAUAGACCAGCAUGAGCCAACCGGGUGAACUGAAACAUCUUAGUAGCCCGAGGAAAAGAAAACAACCGUGAUUCCCCUAGUAGCGGCGAGCGAAGCGGGAAGAGCCUAAACCAACUGGUUUCCAGUUGGGGUAGUGGGACAGCAACAACGGGAAUCUGGAAACUAGACGAAGUAGUUGAAAGCUACACCAGAGAAGGUGAAAGUCCUGUAGUCGAAAGUGAAAAGAACCAAGCUGAAUCCCGAGUAGCCAGGGGCACGUGAAAUCCCUGGUGAAUCAGCCGAGACCACUCGGUAAGGCUAAAUACUACUGCGUGACCGAUAGAGAAACAGUACCGCGAGGGAAAGGUGAAAAGAACCCCGGGAGGGGAGUGAAAUAGAACCUGAAACCGUUAGCUUACAAGCAGUGGGAGGACGAUUCAACGUCUGACCGCGUGCCUGUUGAAGAAUGAGCCGGCGAGUUAUCAGCACUGGUAGGUAAAGGUGAAUAGCCACAGCCACAGCGAAAGCGAGUCUGAAUAGGGCGUUGCAUCAGUGUUGAUAGACCCGAACCCGGGUGAUCUAACCAUGUCCAGGAUGAAGCUUGGGUAACACCAAGUGGAGGUCCGCACCGACCGAUGUUGAAAAAUCGGCGGAUGAGGUGUGGUUAGGGGUGAAAUGCCAAUCGAACCCGGAGCUAGCUGGUUCUCCCCGAAAUGUGUUGAGGCGCAGCGGUAAUGAAUAUAGCUGAGGGGUAAAGCACUGAUUCGGUGCGGGCUGCUCGCGCGGUACCAAAUCGAGUCAAACUCUGAAUACUCAGCGCACACAUUACCAGUGAGACAGUGGGGGAUAAGCUUCAUUGUCAAGAGGGAAACAGCCCAGACCACCAGCUAAGGUCCCGAAAUAGUCGCUAAGUGAAAAAGGAGGUGGGAGUGCAUUGACAACCAGGAGGUUUGCCUAGAAGCAGCCACCCUUGAAAGAGUGCGUAAUAGCUCACUGGUCAAGCGCUCCUGCGCCGAAAAUGAAUGGGGCUAAGUGACUUACCGAAGCUGUGGGAUUAAUUAAUUAAUCGGUAGGGGAGCGUUCCGUAGUAGUGAGAAGCACUAGCGGCAAGCAGGUGUGGACGAAACGGAAGUGAGAAUGUCGGCUUGAGUAGCGCAAACAUUGGUGAGAAUCCAAUGCCCCGAAACCCUAAGGGUUCCUCCGGCAGGCUCGUCCACGGAGGGUUAGUCAGGGCCUAAGGCGAGGGCGAAAGCCGUAGUCGAUGGACAACGGGUGAAAAUUCCCGUACUGAUUGUAGUUGGUGCAGAGGGACGGAGAAGGCUAACAGCAGCCGGAAGUUGGUUACCGGUUCAAGCCACCAAGGUGAUGAAAGACGGCGAAAACGUCUGAGCCGAGGGGUGAGUACGAGAGUCUACGGACUCGAAGUGGAUGCAGUCAAGCUCCCAAGAAAAGCUCUAAACACCAUAAACUAGAAUCACCUGUACCCGAAACCGACACAGGUAGGGAGGUUGAGAAAACCAAGGGGCGCGAGAUAACUCUCUCUAAGGAACUCGGCAAAAUGGCCCCGUAACUUCGGGAGAAGGGGUGCCCUGGAUCAAACCAGGGUCGCAGUGAAGAGGCCCAAGCGACUGUUUACCAAAAACACAGGUCUCCGCUAAGUCGCAAGACGAUGUAUGGGGGCUGACGCCUGCCCAGUGCCGGAAGGUUAAGGAAGUUGGUCAGGGGGCAACCCUAAAGCUGACGACUGAAGCCCCGGUGAACGGCGGCCGUAACUAUAACGGUC